rnacentral:rRNA from 1 species
UACGUAGGGGGCAAGCGUUGUCCGGAUUUAUUGGGCGUAAAGAGCGUGUAGGCGGUUUUACAGGUCCGCUGUGAAAACUCGAGGCUCAACCUCGAGACGCCGAUGGAAACCAUCUGACUAGAGUCCGGAAGAGGAGGGUGGAAUUCCUGGUGUAGCGGUGAAAUGCGCAGAUAUCAGGAAGAACACCCGUGGCUAAGGCGGCUCUCUAGUACGGUACUGACGCUGAGACGCGAAAGCGUGGGGAGCGAACAGG